rnacentral:rRNA from 1 species
CCUACGGGAGGCAGCAGUGAGGAAUAUUGGGCAAUGGGCGAAAGCCUGACCCAGCAACGCCGCGUGAAGGAAGAAGGCUUUCGGGUUGUAAACUUCUUUUGACAGGGAAGAGCAGAAGACGGUACCUGUCGAAUAAGCCACGGCUAACUACGUGCCAGCAGCCGCGGUAAUACGUAGGUGGCAAGCGUUGUCCGGAUUUACUGGGGGUAAAGGGCGUGUAGCCGGGCUGACAAGUCAGAUGUGAAAUCCGGGGGCUCAACCCCCGAACUGCAUUUGAAACUGUUGGUCUUGAGUAUCGGAGAGGCAGGCGGAAUUCCUAGUGUAGCGGUGAAAUGCGUAGAUAUUAGGAGGAACACCAGUGGCGAAGGCGGCCUGCUGGACGACAACUGACGGUGAGGCGCGAAAGCGUGGGGAGCAAACAGGAUUAGAUACCCGGGUAGUC